UUUAUUAAUAUCUAUAUAUCAUAAUCAGUUAGGUCGUCAGUUGCGUAAAGAUAAAAGAUACACAUAUAUACAACAUGUGGAAAAGUGAUUGAACUUAGCUCCACCGGAAAAACUUCAACUUACGAACGCUCUCUGUAACGCUCCCCCCUCCCAACGGUCAAGAAAUUUCCAGAUCCAGCCUUAGCUGGCGAAUUCCCGGCGCCAACGACCACCUCCUCUAACAGGUUAUCCCCCUCCUGCAUCUCCCUCCCUCUCCUCCUUCCCCUCUCACUUCUCAUAUUGUUGUUUUACGAAUAGGAAAGAAAAUUAAAAUCAUAAGCUCUGUGAAGCAAACGUUGCUAAGCCAAUAAUAGACUAUUAUUUUGAAUUAAACCUAGUUUUUCAUUCAACGUAGUUGAUGUUUUAUACACACCUGAUUCAAAGUUUUCAACUUUUGAGCUUUGUGAUUUUUGACUUUGAGGUUCCCAGAUCCCCCUCUUUAGUCUCGGGUCCCCAUAUCUAUUUUUUCUUUUAUUUUAUUUUUAGUAUUUUUUUCACCAGAGUUGUUCGAUUCAGUCACAGAGUUCGUGAAAUUAAGCUUUUCUCUAUCUCAAUUUUGCUGUUAUCCCUUCAUUCCCCUCGCAUUUUACUACUUAUCUCUUUUUGCUACGCGUGGGGGCUCAUCAGUGGUAGCGGUGACAACCCCUCCCUGCUUUGUUUGGAUUCGUGGUGUUUUGUGUGUAUUUCAGGUUAGGACUUGUGGCUGUUAGCGGCGAACAGGAUGUGUGUGUGCAAACAUUAACGAACAAUCCGAGCGCGUGACAGCAAGGGGCGGCAGGAGUUGGACGCGAACGCGCUAGGUGGCAAUAUCAUCGUCGUAUAUAACAAGACAAUCCCCAGGUUCUACUCGUAGGAGUUGGUACCUCCCAUUUUCCUAUUUUCUGUUGUUGUGUUAGUUAAAUUAGUGCCAUCUUAGUUUGUAUUAGUAUAUUCAACGUAUUAGUGUGCCUACAGUUGCAACUUAUCUUCUUCUAUUUUGGUCUGUUGCCUUGUGUGUGUUAGUGAUUCCCCUUAGUCUGUCAUAGGUAUUUGUGGCUAUGGUCUGGGAUGGUCGAGUGAGGUCAUGUCCUCGGGGGGAAUAGGGGGUGGGGCAGGAGGCAGGGCAGGGGUUAGGGGAUGGGUGGGGAAGCAAGGGAGGUAAAGGGAACAAGGGUGUCUAUAGAUUGAGAAUUGGGUAAUGGAACGUAGGUACAUUGACGGGUAAGUCUAUAGAACUGGCAAAUAUCCUCCAAAAGAGGAGGAUCAAUAUAGCGUGUGUCCAGGAGACAAGGUGGGUAGGGUCGAGGGCGAAGGACGCGGAUGGGUAUAAGCUUUGGUACUCAGGAGUCCAAAGAGGUAAGAAUGGAGUGGGUAUCUUGGUGGAUAAGGAACUUAGAGAGUCUGUGGCUGAGGUUAGACAAGUGAAUGAUAGAUUAAUGAGUAUUAAGUUGGUGGUCAGAGAGUGCACCAUAAACAUCGUUAGCGCCUAUGCGCCUCAUGCGGGUCUAGAUGAGGAGGUUAAACAACGCUUUUGGGAGGGGUUAGAUGAGAUUGUGCACCACGUUCCGCCUGCUGAGCAGCUAUUCAUAGGAGGGGAUUUCAAUGGUCAUAUUGGGUCGACCAUAGGUGGUUAUGGCGAGGUGCAUGGAGGCUUCGGUUUUGGGGAGAGGAAUGGAUGCGGUACCUCACUUUUGGACUUCGCUAAGGCUUUUGGGUUGGUGAUUGCGAACUCUAGCUUCCCGAAGAGAGAGGCGCAUUUGGUUACUUUUCAAAAUGCGAUGGCAAAGACUCAUAUUGACUAUCUCCUCCUCAGGAGGUGUGAUGGAGGGUUGUGGAAGGAUUGCAAGGUGAUUCCGGAUGAGAUACUCGUGACACCGCAUAGGUUAUUAGUGAUGGACAUUGGUAUUAUGUUAAAGAAGAGAAAAAGGUCUGCUCGAGGAAGACUGAGGAUCAUGUGGGGAGCCUUAACUAAGGAUAAAGCCCAAGAGUUGGAGGGGCGGUUGUCGGCUAUGGGAGCUUGGAGGAGCAGUGGCGACGCAAGCACUAUGUGGUCAGCGACAUCCGAAUGUAUAAAGGAGGCUGCGAGAGAGGUGUUAGGGGUCUCGACGGGCAUCUCUGAUGGGCACAAAGGAGACUGGUGGUGGAAUGAAGUGGUCCAAGGUAAAGUGGAAGCGAAGACGGCGGCGUACCUAAAGUUAGUGGGGAGCAUAGGUGAGAAGGAAAGGUGAGCAUGCAUAAAAAUGUAUAGGGUAGCUAGGAAGGAAGCUAAGAUGGAGGUCACGAAGGCUAAAACUACGGCUUAUGGUCGUAUGUAUGAGGAACUAGGGAAAAAAGGCGGGGAGAAAAAGUUAUUCUGGUUGGCUAAGCUGAGAGAGAGGAAGGCUCGGGAUUUGGACCAAGUGAGAUGUAUCAAGGAUGAAGAUGGUAGAGUUUUGAUGGAGGAUGUGCAGAUUAAGAGAAGAUGGCAGAUUUAUUUUCAUAAACUUCUGAAUGAAGAAGGGGAUCGGGAUAUUGUACUAGACGAAUUGGAACAUUCUGAGAGUCACCGUGACUCUGGGUAUUGCGGGUGUAUCAAGGUUGAUGAGGUCAUAGAAGUUGUGCGUAAGAUGAGUAGGGGUAGAGCGACCGGGCCAGACGAGAUUCUGGUGCAAUUUUGGAAGAGCGUGGGGAGAGCAGGUUUGGAGUGGUUGACUGGGUUGUUCAAUGUUAUUUUUAAGGCGAAGAGGAUGCCAGAGGAGUGGAGGUGGAGUACGGUAGUUCCAUUGUAUAAGAAUAAAGGUAAUAUCCAGAGUUGUAACAACUAUAGGGGUAUCAAAUUACUGAGCCAUACCAUGAAAGUAUGGGAGAGGGUGGUUGAAGCAAGGGUGAGGAAGGCAGUGUCUAUAUCUGACAACCAGUUCGGAUUCAUAUCGGGUCAUUCGACUACAGAAGCUAUACACCUUGUUCGGAGGUUGGUGGAAAUGUAUAGAGAGAGGAAGAAGGAUCUGCACAUGGUAUUUAUUGACCUGGAGAAAGCAUAUGACAAGGUUCCUAGAGAAGUUCUCUGGAGAUGCUUGGAGGCAAAAGGUGUGUCAGUACCGUACAUUAUGGCGAUCAAGGAUAUGUAUGAUAGGGCUAAAACUCAGGUUAGGACAGUAGGAGGAGACUCUGAACAUUUUCCGGUUGUAAUGGGGUUACACCAAGGUUCUGCACUCAGUCCGUUCUUAUUCUCCUUGGUGAUGGACACGUUAACGCACCAUAUUCAAGGGGAGGUGCCAUGGUGCAUGCUAUUCGCCGAUGACAUAGUUCUGAUUGAUGAGUCGUGAGCCAGUCUUAAUGAGAGGCUAGAGGUUUGGAGACAAGCUCUUGAGUCUAAGGGUUUCAAGAUGAGCAGGACAAAGAUGGAAUACUUGGAGUGUAAGUUCAGCGCUGAGCCGGGAGAAGUGGACGUGGAUGUGAGGCUUGAAUCACAGAUCAUCCCAAAUAGAGGAAGCUUCAAGUACCUUGGGUCGAUUAUCCGGGGGAGAGGGGAGAUAGACGAGGAUGUCACACAUCGUAUUGGGAUACGAUGGAUGAAGUGGAGGUUAGCAUCUGGAGUCUUGUGUGACAAGAGAGUGUCACCGAUUUUCUAAGGUAAGUUCUAUAAAGCGAUGGUUAGACCGGCAAUGAUGUAUGGGGCUGAGUGUUGGCCUGUUAAGAAUUCAAAUACCCAAAAGAUGAGAGUAGCAGAAAUGAGGAUGCUGAGGUAGAUGUGCGGACACACUAGGAUGGAUAAGAUUAGGAAUGAUGAUAUUCGGGAGAAGGUACACGUGGCUCCCAUUGAGGACAAGAUGUGGGAAGCGAGGCUCAGAUGGUUUGGGCAUGUUCAGAGGAGAAGUCCAGAUGUUCCGGUAAGGAGGUGCGAGCGGCUAGAAGUGGAGGGGAAUAGAAGAGGUAGAGGGCGGCCUAAGAAGUAUUGGGGAGAGGUGAUCAGACAUGAUAUGGCAAGGCUUCAAAUUUCUGAGGACAUGACACUUGAUAGGAAGUUGUGGAGGUCGAGUAUUAAGGUUGUAGGCUAGAAGGUAGUUGAGUCUUGCCUUACUUAUACCUUUGCGAGACUAGUCUGAUAGGGUUUUUACCUAAGAUAGCUAGUGACAUUGUUGUGUCUUACUAUUUCAGUGCAUGACGUAUUUAAUAGCUAUCGCUUUUUUUUGCAGCUUUCUUCUGAAUUUCAUGUUCAUUUUUUUUCUUUUCGUAUUAUUUCUGUGGCGAUACUAAUAUUCUAUGCUUUUGUCCUUUCGUACUAUUGAGCCGAGGGUCUUUCGGAAACAGUCUAUCUACCCCUUCGAGGUAUGGGUAAGAUCUGCGUACACACUACCCUCCCCAGACCCUAUUAGUUGGAUUUCACUGGGUUGUUGUUGUUGUUAUUGUAUAUAUACAACAUGUUCCCACUAAUCUCGUCCAUCUAAUGAUAGAUAAUUUUGUAUGUUAAGUUGCACAAAAUGUCGAUAGAUCGUAACAUUUUCUUUCCUAGCACAUAUAUGUGCGUGUUCCUAUUUGUAAAUAAAAUAUGUUUACUCUUUGUAAAAUAAAGACUAUAAAGUAAAGACAAGUAUAGAGAGAAACUGAUAUAUUAUUCGAUUCAAACUGAUGUACAUAAUGAACUGAAAUCUCUU
rnacentral:lncRNA from 1 species